rnacentral:lncRNA from 1 species
AAAGUUAAAUUUAAUCUUCUAUUGGAAUGCCUACAUGGUGUCUUGUCCCCAAUUUUGUGUUUUUGGUACAUUGAAAAAAAAUGCAAUAAACUUCUUUUUGUUAAUAGUUUAUGAUAAACUGUUUAUUGUGAACUAAUAGAAUGACAAGAACAUCAUGAUGACAUAAAUAAACGUCACCAUUUUCAUGCAAAAUGCGUGAUUUACCCGCGA